UAAUACUUUCUUCCCUAAUUUCUAAGUACAUAAUUCUCUAUCAUCUCUUCCUUUUUAUACUUUACUACUUAUAUCAUGAAGUCUUAUAAAAUUAAGAAAUUAAAAGAUGCUUAUAGAACCAUUUCUGUUAUAUUUUUCAUUGUGUUUAUAUAAAUUGGGUGACCAUACUGUUUAUAUUCACUGUUUUGAGAAUUUUUUGUACUUUUUGAUUACAGUUGAUGGAAAUACUUGGGCACAAGUAAUUGCCUUAUACCCUACGUUAGUAGAGUGCAUCACCUGCUCAUCCUCAGACGUCUGCUCUGCUCUUAAAGAGGCACUGGUUCCCUUUAA
rnacentral:lncRNA from 1 species